CCCUCUCUCUCGGCUCUCACCUUGAAUGUUCUCCCUUUCCUUCUGAACCCUCACUAUCCGACGUAACCCCUUUCUUUCACUCUUCAUCCUCUCUCCCUCUCCACCGUAAUCGCAGCCGCAGUCUGUGAUCUGUCACUCUCUCAACCCCCACUCUCCCAAACCCUCACUCAUCUGUGCCUCUCACUCUCUCAACCUCUCACUCUGUCAACCCCUCACUGUCGCAUCCCUCACCUCUAUUGCGUUCAGAUACCUACAAAAAAAGGAGCCCUCAAUGCUGAACCCAGUUACUCAUUCCAAAUUUCCGGUUUCCUUUAAAGAUUAUGGCUGCUGCUGUAACUGCGAGAACUGUUCGUGUUGUCAUUGUUGUUUUUGAUGGACCCAGUAGCUUUAUUGCUUAACUAGGAAUACUCGUUGUGAAUGUUGAAACGUGUAGUUGUGUUGUGGCUUAUCUCAAGUGAUAGCUUCUUUAACUCCGUUGCUAACACUGGCAUCCGGCAGUAAAACACCCCUACAAGUAUUAUGAGUAGAAAAUUAGCAUUGUCUAAUAUUCUGCUGUAACAGAAAUUGGUACAGGAAAAUAGUUCUACACUUUGUAAUAAGGGUGGAGAUGGAUUUCAAGUGGAGAAGAGAAAGGUGAAGACCAAGUUGACAGCAAGCGUUAAUUUUUUAGCUGCACUGGUAAUGGAGCUUGAUAAGAUGGGCUAAGUGCAUGCAAUAUUUAACCGUUGAAUGAUGCGCUACAGUAAAGCAAAUAAGCAUUUUUUGUUUAACAAGUUGAAGGCUAACAAGUUUGGUACCGCAUAUAAUUUAGAAUUUUUUUUCAACAAUUAUUAUUUAGGUUUGUCGCUUGUGUUAUAGGUAGGUUUAUAUCAAUUGGACUUUGUUUUUUAAAAAAAAGGGACAUGUAUGUAUAAGUUUUGGCUAAGAUUUUCUUGUUAUGUGGCUCAUCAAAACCCUAGCAAAUACUCCUUGCUGUUUAGUAGUUGAAAUUUUUAAGUUAACUGACUUAUUAAAGUUUGCUACAUAUGUAUUGCAUUAUCAUAAGCAAUUUUUCUCUGUUUUAACA